GAUGAAGAACGUAGCGAAAUGCGAUAAGUAAUGUGAAUUGCAGAAUUCAGUGAAUCAUCGAAUCUUUGAACGCACCUUGCGCUCCUUGGUAUUCCGAGGAGCAUGCCUGUUUGAGUGUCAUGAAAUUCUCAACCUUUCUGGCUUUUGCUAGUCAGGCUUGGAUUAUGGGAGCUGCUGGCUUUUGAAGUCGGCUCUUCUAAAAUGUAUUAGCAAGAUCAUUGCUGCUCAUCAUUGGUAUGAUAAUUAUCUAUAUCAUUGAGAGUCAGUUUCCUUUAUUGGAAGAUUUUGCUCCUAGCGGUCUUUAGCAAGACAACAUUUGACGAUUUUGACCUCAAAUCAGGUAGGACUACCCGCUGAACUUAAGCAUAUCAAUAAGCGGAGGA
rnacentral:misc_RNA from 1 species